rnacentral:rRNA from 1 species
UACAGAGGAGCCAAGCGUUGUCCGGAUUGACUGGGCGUAAAGCGCACGCAGGCGGAUGCGCGCGUGGGGUGUGAAAUCUGGCCGCUUAACGGCCAGGCGCCAUCCCAUACGGCGCGUCUGGAGUGAUGCAGAGGUCGAUGGAAUUGCCGGUGUAGUGGUGAAAUGCGUAGAGGUCAGCAGGAACACCCGUGGCGAAGGCGGCCCCCUGGGCCGUACCUGACGCUGAGGCGCGAAGGCUAGGGGAGCGAACGGG